rnacentral:lncRNA from 1 species
CCUUCCUCCAACUGAGUUACAGGAAAGUGGCGCUCUGCCCGCUGUUUCGCGAGCUCUGGGUCGUACUCUGCCCGGAGGUUGGAAACGGGUGAAAGGAGGCGACCUGGGGCAAGGCGGGUAGGAGCAGACAUCGCGGAGGCAGGCGCGCAGUGCCUGGCACUUGGUCGGCGCGGAGGGCGUGCGGGAGCGGCGCUUUCCCGGGAGCGGCGCGCGGCCGCAGGGCCUGAUGGGUGCCUCCGUGUACGGGAGUCGGUUUGCGAGCUUUGCGGGCGGGUCCCUUCGGGUGUCAGUGGCAGGACAGGAAGUCCCCUGGUCCUUAUCUCUGACAUUCAGCGUCCCACAGCGUGAGCGGCACUCCUGACUCCUGAAGAAAUAACGUGUGUGCACACCCAGUCUUCCUGUGUGGCAGUUGUACUGACUGGAUUUCUGGGCGUCACUUCCGCACGUAGGGCUUCUCUGCCUCCUUUGCAUAGUCCGCCUGCCAACGCCAUUUGAGUUUAUUGGGGUUUUUACGAGAAAUGGUCCCAGAGAAAGUGAGUUCUGAAAGGGGCUCGGUGCACUAGAAGGUGGCCCCUUUGUCUUUCCAGUAAAGUAGUUGCAGCGUUUGAGGGGAAGCUCCCUGCGAAUAGAAAUCCGACCUGAAGGAACUCCCGUCUGGCCGGAAUUCUGUCACUAGUCCUUGGGAACAGAGGCAUCAGCAUUCUUGGAAGGGAAGGUCCCAGCUCUGCAUGGCCCUAGGAUGAUUGCGCGGGAUGUGCUCGGUAACCCUUGACUCAGUAGCCAUCACGCACUGGGUGGUGCUGGGAGGUGUGCACCAGUUUUGAGAAAAGCGAGGGGAGGUGGGCCGAGAGGGGGAGGCAGUGUCCCUUAAUGGACAGGGCUUGAAAGUUGGCCCCGGGUGGAGAAGAAACCUGUCUUCCUGGAGAGAUCUUCAAUCCAGUGUCUUAGCUGCCUCAGCUGUCACCAGAUUUGUCAUCUACAGUCUACACUCGUGCUAUGCUCCCUCUGCCCUGAUAGUUCUUCCCGGCUCUUGGGGGAAGGAUUUGCCAGAAAAAAAAUUAAAAAUCGGAUCCAAGGAGCCAUGACUUGCCCAGGCUCACAAGAUUUGUAGACGCUGAUCAUCCUGACUUUGUGGUUAAUAGUAUUCAUUUUGCCACUUAAGUCAAAAUAAAUGUUUAUUUUUGAAGUUAUUGUUGUAACACAGAAGUCCACUUAGAACAGACAUUGCUUUAAAAUACGUAGCCUUCAAUAGCCCUGUCAUUUUUUUAAUCCCCCAAACUACCUGUGGUUUAUGGGACUUCACAAGGUAAAUGAUGCGUGUUUCCUACCUAAUGUCAGUGAUCCAUUUAGUUUGUUUGUUUUUGAGACAGGGUCUUUCUGUGCAGUUCAGGCUGCCCUUGAACUGUGUAACCUUGGCUCACCUUGAACUGGAGGCGAUCUGCCUGCCCCAGCCUCCUGAGAGCUGGGAUUACAGGUAUCAUGCACCACGUGCAGCAGUAAUUUGUUGUUGGUAAUGAUAAAUUUUGCAGGAAAGUUAUAAGGAACUAUUCUGCAUUACUCUAAAUGGGAAAAUUAGAAUGCAUCACACUUCUCCAAACCAGUUUUUAAAAAUGUAAAUAAAAUACAGUACAGUGCCCACUUACAAAUAACAGACCCUUUAUGACUUAUACUUAAAAAGAUUUUGUAUCAUGUUAAAAACCCUUAAAACAUUGUUUACUAAUGUGCAGACAAUUGCCUUGGGGGUUUACAUGGCCUCAAUUAGUGCCAGAAACCUCACUGAAACUAUUCAGUUGCCAUUCAUUGUGAUUUUCCAAAUCCACGUGUUUGUGAAGUUCUGUUGAUUGUAUUUGACAUGACAUUGAACACUUUCUCCCCCACAUGAUUUUGUUAAAAACAUUGAGUUUUAGAGGCUUAGAUGUAUCAGCAUUUGCUAUAUAAGGAGCCAAUAAAAACUUAAUAGCUCCACAAAAUCAACUUCUUAAUUUUUUUCUUGACAUUCUGUGGAUGUGCAUUUGGGUUGGGCUCUGCUGGGAAGUUCUUAUGCUGGGGUUGCUUGGAUCACAGAUAAGGCUCUAUUCAUCUACUGAGGCUGGUGGUACAGAGUCUGGCAAUUCAUGCUGACUCUUGUCCUCGUCAGAUUAGCCCCAGGCCUCUUCACAAUGUGCCUGUGUGUCCAAGUGCGCAAGCAACAGCUGGGAAGGACUUUCUGAACCUACCUAUGCAUUGUACUUACUGAUGUCCCGAUGGCCAGAGAAUUCAGAGAAAAAGCCCAGAUCAUCAUUGGAACAUGGUAUACAUGGGCUUAGAUGCAAGGAGACUUGCCUGAGGGUAUCAUUCCUGAAAGAGUAUGCCACAAGACAUUGUGUGUGUGUGUGUGUGUGUGUGUAUAUAUAUAUAUAUAUAUAUAUAUUUUCCCCUCCUAUAUAAUUGUGAGCAAAAACUGUUGGGUUGCAAGAGGUAUACUGUCUGCAACGUUCAGGUAAUAUAAAAUCAUGGAGUGUUGGAUGGAAACACUUACCUGGAGUCCUUUGUGGAACCCUCAUAGUAAUAGGGAAGUAGUUAAUUAGGCCCAAGUAUAUUUCUAUAUAGUAAUUUUACUGACAACAUGUUUCCUUCUUUGGGUUUUAUACUUUCAGGUAAUAUAAUUUUGGGAAGUCAGUGGCUAGUGUGUGGUUUUAUUAACCCAAAAACAUUGUAUGUUUAAUCAUUGCAAAGUACUGUGCUUGCGGAUGUGUUUUGGGUAUUAUCUUUGCCGCCUCUUGUUGAGCUGUAAACUGCUGUUGUCCUGUAGUGCGGCCGUUUCCAGCUGAUGCUUGGUGAGCUUACAGAGGGAGCCAGGACCGAGCCCCACGCAGUUGUGACUGCUGCACUCGCCUUUCCCCUCUGUGUUCCCACAAGCACAAAACACGGACCAAACGUGGAACAUCCUGCAGAUGCCUGAGAUGGAGUGACCCUCUCUGUUGUCCAUGGUGCAGCAGGCAGCAGGUGCAGAUGACCCUGUGGGUGCAGAUGACCCUGUGGUCCAUAACCCUCAGGCCACUCUCCAGUUGCCACCAACAUUUAGCUCACUGUCCUUGAGGUCCUCAGCAGCCUUGAUGCUCCUCCAGCCAUGUGAGUGAUCUCCCGAGGCCUGGCCUCUGUGUUCUAGCGCUUUGUGACCACAACACCCCAUUUCCGGGCAUGAGUUCUCUUCUGGUUAUGUUCUACUUAAAAAGCCACCUGAAGAACUUGGCAGCUAAAGCAGUUUAUGAUCCCGUGAUGCUGUAGGUUGGGGGCUCUGCCUGGUGGCUGGCUAAUUUCACACAGUUGCAGCAGGCAGCAGCUGAAACGGCCUCUGAGAGCACAGCUGGGUGACGCACAGCUGCCCCCUGCUGGCUGGCUGCAGUACUGCUGAGCCCAAGGAGCAGGGCUGUCCUUGCAUGGGAUGGUUCCUGUGGGUGUCUCCCUGGUGGCCUUGGCUCUGUGGUUUUCUACAUGGCAGCACCCCCCUUCCACGCCACAUUAACAUUCCAGAGCCACUGGUGAAGCGGCAUCACUUCCCACAGCCUUCAGAGGUCACCUUGUGUCACUUUUCUGCGCCAGGUCUAGGCACUGCUCAAGGCCCCCACAGAAGGCAGGGUGGUGACCAAGCUGUGCCCCUAAGACCUGUCAGAAGUGCUGCUGUCACGAUUGUCCUAAACACAUGCAGCUGCCCUUGUGCACACCUCUUUGUCACAGGCUAUUUUGAAGUCUGUAAUGAAUAUCUCAGGUGCUGGCUAUGAAUUGGGUUGAACUGAGGUAUGCAGCCUUCCUAGUGUCCAUCUGGUGGCUCACUGGUUCCUGAGCGGGUGGGGGAGGAUCCUGCAGGUGUCACCGAGUGGUUGUCAGCUGCCCACUUUCCGCUGCUGUUUCAGAUACUUUGAGGCUCUCUGUUUAGGCACAGACACAUUUGUAAUUGUUAGAUCAUCCUCACAUAGAUUCCUUAUAUUAUUGUGAAAGUCCCCUCAUUUCUGGUAACGUGUGUCUCUUGUCUAGUUUUAAUGUCUCCUUUUGAGCUCCUUGUGGUUAGCAGUAUAUCUUUUCCAUCUGUUUACUUCAAGUCUGUUACUUUGUACUAUAUUUAAAGUAUGCUUGUGUAGACAGCAUAAUGCAGACUCCUGCUUUACUAUUAAAUCUGACAGGGUCUAUCUUUUUUUUUUUUUUUUUUGGUACCGGGGAUCGAACUCGGGUCCUUGGCACUUGCACAGCAGGCAGCAAAACCACUGAGCUAAAUCCCUUGCCCCUGAC